rnacentral:sRNA from 1 species
UUGCGCCUGUGGUGGUUCAGGCACGGGCUAAACAUAGCUUCGCAGGCAGCCGGUCCGUGUACGAUCUGGUAAAUCCAAGAAUUUUCUUGGAUUUAAGGACUUCU